rnacentral:rRNA from 1 species
UACGAAGGGGGCUAGCGUUGCUCGGAAUUACUGGGCGUAAAGCGCACGUAGGCGGCUUUCUAAGUCGGGGGUGAAAUCCUGGAGCUCAACUCCAGAACUGCCUUCGAUACUGGAGAGCUUGAGUCCGGGAGAGGUGAGUGGAACUGCGAGUGUAGAGGUGAAAUUCGUAGAUAUUCGCAAGAACACCAGUGGCGAAGGCGGCUCACUGGCCCGUUCUGACGCUCAUGCACGACAGCGUGGGGAUCAAACAGG